rnacentral:rRNA from 1 species
GAUCCCUACGGGGCGCAGCAGUGAGGAAGAUUGGUCAAUGGUAGGGAGACUGAACCAGCCAAGCCGCGUGAGGGAUGAAGGUACAGAGUAUCGUAAACCUCUUUUGUCAGGGAACAAAGGCGGGGACGUGUCCCCGGAUGAGUGUACCUGAAGAAAAAGCAUCGGCUAACUCCGUGCCAGCAGCCGCGGAAAUACGGAGGAUGUGAGCGUUAUCCGGAUUUAUUGGGUUUAAAGGGUGCGCAGGCGGUCUGUACAGUCAGCGGUCAAAGCCCGGGGCUCAAACCCGGCCCGCCGUUGAAACUGGG